AUACCAGCCCCGCGAGUGGUCGGGACGGUUAUUGGGCCUAAAGCGCCCGUAGCCGGCCCGGUAAGUUCCCGCCGAAAUCCCCGGGCUCAACCCGGGGGCCUGCGGGAAUACUGCCGGGCUAGGGGGCGGGAGAGGCCGGGGGUACUCCCGGGGUAGGGGCGAAAUCCUAUAAUCCCGGGAGGACCACCAGUGGCGAAGGCGCCCGGCUGGAACGCGCCCGACGGUGAGGGGCGAAAGCCGGGGGAGCGAACCGGAUUAGAUACCCUAGUAGUCC
rnacentral:rRNA from 1 species